AUUGAACGCUGGCGGCAGGCCUAACACAUGCAAGUAGGACGCAGUUGCGAACGGGUGAGUAACGCGUAGGUAACUACCUAUUAGAGGGGGAUAACUAUUGGAAACGAUAGCUAAUACCGCAUACUAGUAGAUGGACCUGCGUUGUAUUAGCUAGUAGGUAGGGUAAUGGCCUACCUAGGCAACGAUACAUAGCCGACCUUAGAGGGUGAUCGGGCCACACGGGACGGAGGAACGGGCCAGACUCCUACGGGAGGGAGCCGUAGGGAAUCUUCGGCAAUGGGGGGAACCCUGACCGAGCAACGCCGCGGGAGUGAAGAAGGUUUUCGGAUCGUAAAGCUCUGUUGUUAAGGAAGCGGUACUUAACCAGAAAGGGACGGCUAACUACGUGCCAGCAGCCGCGGUAAUAC
rnacentral:rRNA from 1 species